rnacentral:rRNA from 1 species
GCAAAGGACUCCUACGGGAGGCAGCAGUGGGGAAUAUUGCACAAUGGGCGCAAGCCUGAUGCAGCCAUGCCGCGUGUAUGAAGAAGGCCUUCGGGUUGUAAAGUACUUUCAGCAGUGAGGAAGGUGGGUAUGUUAAUAGCAUACUCAUUUGACGUUAGCUGCAGAAGAAGCACCGGCUAACUCCGUGCCAGCAGCCGCGGUAAUACGGAGGGUGCGAGCGUUAAUCGGAAUUACUGGGCGUAAAGCGCAUGCAGGUGGUUUGUUAAGUCAGAUGUGAAAGCCCGGGGCUCAACCUCGGAAUUGCAUUUGAAACUGGCAAACUAGAGUACUGUAGAGGGGGUAGAAUUUCAGGUGUAGCGGUGAAAUGCGUAGAGAUCUGAAGGAAUACCGGUGGCGAAGGCGGCCCCCUGGACAGAUACUGACACUCAGAUGCGAAAGCGUGGGGAGCAAACAGGAUUAGAUACCCUGGUAG